AUCUAUUUAUUAGUUCUUCCAUGUACAGCUAUGGCUUCUGUGGAAGGGCUUUAAAUUUUUUAAUUAAUUUUGUUAAGAACACUCAACAUACUUCCAAGUAUACCAUACAGUAUUGUUAUCUAAAGGCACAAUGUUAUACAUCAGAUCUCUAGAACUUACUCAUCUUGCAUAACUGAAAUGUUAUACCCACUGAUUAGCAACCCUCUUUCCCCCUCCACCUAGCCCUUGGCAACCACCAUUCUAUUCUUUGCUUCUAUGAGCUUGACUAUUUUAGAAAAAAACUCAUAUAUGUGGAAUCAUGCAGUAUUUGUCCGUCUGUAACUAGUUCAUUUCACUUGGCAUAAUGUCCUCAAUGGAGAAAGAAAAUGUGGCAUACACAUACAGUCAGUGGAUUUUAUUUAGCCUUAAAAAAGGCAAUCCUAAAAUACAUGACACCAUUGAUGAAGGGGUUCAUUCAGUCAUUGAAUCUGUCAUUGAGUGGCAACUCUGGGCUAGGCAGGCAUCACGAAUUAUUAUAGAUUUCUGCUUUGAAGGAAUUUUCUAGAUCAGUGAUCUAUUUUGGUAUGCGUGCCCAUCCCUCUACAUGUUUAUUUAGUUAUUUAUAAAUUAUAUCCCUGAACUACUCUAUGAAUAUUCAUUAUAAAACAGUCACAAUAGAAAUUUAAAAGAUGAAGUAAAUAUAAAAUAGAAAAUAUUUUAAUUAUUCUCAUUUAUUAAUGGUAUAAAAGUUCUUUUAACUUCAUUAACUAUAAAUAAUAUUUAGAAGGAGAAAUAUUAUUGAAUAUGCCUAAUUGAUUUUUAAAGUCUUUGUGAUACUCCAAUUUGAAGAUCUGGGUCUAAGUUCAAUUGACAAAAGUAUUUUGUUUGAGUGUAUGUCAUAACUGAAAAAAGUACCAUGCAAAGAUACUGGGAUCCAAAUAAAAAUAGUAUACCAUCGGCUGUGCUAAAGGAAUUACAAAAAUCAUUUCAUAACUCCUUCCAUUGGUUUUGCAAAGAUUUUAUUUUUAAAUCUGGCUAGGAAAUUGCCAUUUUAGCUCACAUCAACUAGACUGAAAAGCUCAUUGAAGAUGCUGCCUUUUCAUAUUUUUAACACACUGAGUUAAAAACCACUCAAAAUCUUUACCAGGUAAAUUCUUAAGCAAGCUCAAACAUUCUGCUUCUAUUAAAAAAAAGUAUGAAGAUAGAGUUUUCACAAGUGCCACACAUCUAUAUUGUAAUUGUUAGCCACAGUAUCACAUAAUGAUGGUUAUAUUCCUAAAUAUUUACUAAACUCUCACUUCCUAAAUGUUUUCCCCAUUACAUGAGUUUCUAAAAGCGUCAUUAAAAUGUCAUCUUUGCCUUGAUGGGCCGAUUAAAUGUGAAUUGUGUUCGUUAUUUUUUUAAAAAGUCUGCAGGUAGCGUAUUUUGGACAGUCAACUCAACGAAAAAAGAAUAGCAAAUUUAGUAUGAUUAUAUUUUUAAAAAUAUACAUAAUUUGGUUUUUGGUUUGACAGUUCUUUGGAGUCUUUGGCCAUGAGAUAAUUGGUGAUUGUCUUUGUGGUGCUAGAGUCUCACACCGUUAAGAAGACUGUAUCGUUGAAAGGUUCUGUGUCUAUAACAUUAAUCACACUGGAUUACCAUCCUGUAAAACUUACUACAUUGCAAUAGAUGGAAGUGAAUGUACUUAGCAAGGGCCCACCAUCACACUUUCUCCCACUCAGAGCUUGCUCUUGUCUCUUGGAACACUCUCAGACCCAUGGGUCACACAACUAAGUUUGAGUGCCAGCCAGCAUUAGUCCAUGCUGGGGUGACAGUUCAUCUAUGAUUGAGCAUUGAAGAUCAAGAGUUCCCAAAAAUCUUCCAUCUAGAGCAAGCUGGGACAUUUUGUCCCCCUAGUCCACAUAUUUAGUACAAGUAGAUUUAGUUUCUUUUUUCCUCAUAAAUUGAGGUUUUUAAAAAGAUUUUAUUUUAUUUAUUCAUGAGACACACAGAGGGAGGGGCAGAGACAUAGGCAGAGGGAGAAGCAGGUUCUCUGUGGAGAGCCCCAUGCAGGACUCGAUCCCAGGACCCCGGGAUCAUGACUUGAGCCAAAGGCAGGUGCUCAACCAUUGAGCCACCCAGGUGCCCCAAAUUAGUAGUUUCUUUCUGUGCCCCAAUGGAUUGUCUCAUGUGAUCCCUAAGAUACAUACGUCCCACUUUAGAGCUUGAAUGAAAGAUUCUUGCUUGCUGGAGUUGUCACUUAAAGCUCCCAUGGGGACCUCUCAAGGAAAGCUGGCUCUGGCCUGAAGAACCUUGCCACUACUGUUCUAAGUCAGUACUAGUCUGGAAAUAUCAAAAUGAUGUUUCUCAUUUGAAAGGAGGUGUGCUAGUAGCAUGGGAUAGACGGUCAUUACAUGCUCCCUUAAAACUAAAUCAAGUCCUCACAAAAGGUUUUCUUAUCUAACCUGGUCCUCAAGUGACACUGUAUUAACAUGACUGUGUCAACUCAUCUGGGAAAAAUCCUAAAAGAAAGCACAUUUUUCAUAAGGUCAAGGCACCAACUUCUUUUACCCAGUUCACUUAGGUGAGAAACUGUAAUAGCAGUGCUCAGCCUAGACUGUACAUUAGAAUUACAAGAGGGGUUUUAAAAAUCCCUGUGUCAGACUGAGACUGAGACCAACUGAAACAGAAUUGCUCAAAGUGGGAACCAGACAUCAAUUUUUAAAGCUUGCCAGAUGGUUCCAACAGGCAGCCAAAGCUGAGAACCACUGCUCAUCUAUCCUCUCUCCAGUGGUUUUGGGAUUAUUCUUGUGUCUGAAUGCUGAAAAACAGAUCUCAGAUGCAACUUGUGUGUGACACAUAGAAUCAAUGCCGUUCUAUUUCAUCAGAGUCAGGUUCCUACCUAACAGGGCAGUGUGAUAGUCCUGCAGAAGUUCUUCAUUAGAGAGGGAAAACCCGAAGGUCUUAGCAGUCACUACAGCAGGCCUCUAGAGUGGAUAGACUCGGUUGAGAGAUAGAAGCUAAACUGUUUUAAAUGUCAAUUAUCUGCCAGCAUGAGACUUUUCUUUGAC
rnacentral:lncRNA from 1 species